rnacentral:rRNA from 1 species
UACGGGGGGGGGCGAGCGUUAUUCGGAAUUAUUGGGCGUAAAGGGCGCGUAGGCGGCCUGGUAAGUCAAAGGUGAAAUCCCUCGGCUCAACUGAGGAACUGCCUUUGAAACUGUCAGGCUUGAGGCCGGGAGGGGGUAGCGGAAUUCCCAGUGUAGCGGUGAAAUGCGUAGAUAUUGGGAGGAACACCAGUGGCGAAGGCGGCUACCUGGACCGGUUCUGACGCUGAUGCGCGAAAGCGGUGGGGAGCAAACAGG